UACGGGGGGGGCAAGCGUUGUUCGGAAUUACUGGGCGUAAAGGGCUCGUAGGCGGCCAACUAAGUCAGACGUGAAAUCCCUCGGCUUAACCGGGGAACUGCGUCUGAUACUGGUUGGCUUGAGUGCCGGAGAGGGUCGCGGAAUUCCCGGUGUAGAGGUGAAAUUCGUAGAUAUCGGGAGGAACACCAGUGGCGAAGGCGGCGACCUGGACGGACACUGACGCUGAGACGCGAAAGCGUGGGGAGCAAACAGG
rnacentral:rRNA from 1 species